rnacentral:rRNA from 1 species
ACGAACGCUGGCGGCCGGCUUAACCCAUGCACGUCGAGCGCAUCCUUCGGGGUGAGCGGCGGACGGGUGAGUAACGCGUGGGAACGUGCCCUCUUCUACGGAAUAGCCUCGGGAAACUGAGAGUAAUGCCGUAUACGCCCGCAAGGGGAAAGAUUUAUCGGAGGAGGAUCGGCCCGCGUUGGAUUAGGUAGUUGGUGGGGUAACGGCCUACCAAGCCGACGAUCCAUAGCUGGUGUGAGAGGAUGAUCAGCCACACUGGGACUGAGACACGGCCCAGACUCCUACGGGAGGCAGCAGUGGGGAAUCUUGGACAAUGGGGGCAACCCUGAUCCAGCCAUGCCGCGUGAUCGAUGAAGGCCUUAGGGUUGUAAAGAUCUUUCAGCUGGGAAGAUAAUGACGGUACCAGCAGAAGAAGCCCCGGCUAACUCCGUG